UACAAAGUAAAAUAAAUCUAACCAACUUCUUUGUAGUCCAGUAGAUGAAGUGGCUGAUUCUGUUUUUCCAGGACUCAAGUCCUCUGUGGAGGUGAUUUCUUUUUCCUAAUCUUCAUGGAGGCAUCGGAAAGUCAAUAACUGCUGCUUACUGCAAGGGGACUGAGAAGAGACUAUUUCUGUGCCUACAAAGAUGAAGGAAAAAGGAACAGCAAGAAUCGUUUUCUGAACCGUGCAAGUGGAGAAGACAUGACCAUUUGCCUGCUUUUGGGGCUGGCGGGUCAUGGACGCUUCGUGCAGCAUGGUGCUGGGCCGCAGAAGGAACAUGCAACUCUGUGGAUGACUGAAGAUGAAUCCUACAUUCGCAGAGACUUUUCCUUGUUGGUAAUCAGAUGUUUUUUCCAGGUAAGCAAUGUUCUUUUUAUAGUUCUCCGAAGUUUUGCUCU